ACACCUCAACUCUUCAUGGUUUUUCUGUGAUGAGCUUGGACUUUGGGGGUUUUGCCGGCCUAUGGUCAGCUCCUCUAAAAUGAAUCAGCUUGCCGGUGUUUGGUGGGCAUCACGGGUGUGAUAACUAUCUACGCUUGUGGUUUUCCACCAGGUAACCUUCAGCAGUGGAGGUUCGCUGGAGCUCACAGAUGUCUCUCCUCAGUGAGGAUGGGGCCCUUUGAAU
rnacentral:misc_RNA from 1 species